ACACAACAGGUACGACUUUAGGACUUGAGAAGAGUCACAUAUUUUUGUCACUUGACCGUUCAGUCUGAGUUAAUCCAGAGAAUACGGGAAGCUCAAUCUACUGAUUCUACCCUAGUAGCCCUCAAGAGAGAUGCAGAACAGGGAGUUAGCUUAGAAUUUUGAGUCUCCACCGAUGGGUUGCUCAAAUUUCAGGACAGGAUGUGUGUUCCAGGUGGCAGUGAGUUAAAGAGGGACAUUAUGACAGAGGCUCAUACCUCAAAGUUUGCUAUGCAUCCC
rnacentral:lncRNA from 1 species